rnacentral:tRNA from 1 species
UGGGGUGUAGCUUAAGUGGUAAAGCACUUGCCUAGCAUGCAUGAGGCCCUGGGUUCAAUCCUCAGCACCCCAA